rnacentral:rRNA from 1 species
GACGUAGGGCGCGAGCGUUGUCCGGAUUUAUUGGGCGUAAAGAGCUCGUAGGCGGCUUGUCGCGUCGAAUGUGAAAUCUCAGGGCUCAACUCUGACAUUGCAUUCGAUACGGGCAGGCUAGAGUUCGGUAGGGGAGACUGGAAUUCCUGGUGUAGCGGUGAAAUGCGCAGAUAUCAGGAGGAACACCAAUGGCGAAGGCAGCUCGCUGGGACGGUACUGACGCUGAGGCGCGAAAGUGUGGGGAGCAAACCGG